UACAAAUGGAAAUGACUGCUUCGUAGCCAGUUCUCAUUAUAUUUCUUUCCCAGGAGAUGUGAAAUUAGCACUAGGAGAAAUCCCAGGGUGGUUGGGAGCGAAGCGCAGUCUCUGCCAUUAAGGCUGCCCCACCAGGAGGGGAAGCAGGGAGUUAGUGAGGCUGGCAGGAUCCUGCCCUCUCCAACAUGUCUUGGCCAGGGACAGAAGAAGAGGAAACUAGUUGAAUGGUAUUGUGUUCAUGUACAUAAAUGGAUCCCUCCAGAGAGGGGUAGGUAUAUGCUGGUUUGGAGCAAAAUGUGAAUAUUGGCGUUACUAACAGUCAUGCUGAAGAUUUGCUGCACCACUUUUUAUUACACUGAGUAGCAGAGCCCAGGUGGGACAGAGGGUAUAACAGGCAUGCAUCAGAUCAUGCUCCUUGCUCAUUUUAGUGGGCCAGAGAAGCACGUGGAAAGAUUGUAUCUCAUUGCACUAAACUGCACUUCGUUAAAUAAGGCAAUUUAAACAUAGGUGAAAGGUUUCUGGCAAGGCAUGGUAAUUCUAUAACUUUGUUAUGGUUUUAUGUAAUUGAAAGGUUGUGAGGGUUUGUGUUUUUUCCCUUCUAGAAAAGGGAAUAUGCUGGUAAAGAUAUAACAAUUUUAAAAGAUGGGGUUUCAUGAGACCUUUUUGUAGUUGCAGACGUGUUUCUGUAUAUGCUUUGCUACGCCAGUGCAGCCAUCUUACCUGAAAGGAACAUUGUGAGUGAUCCCCUCCAGCAGCUGCUCAGGAAGCUUGCUUAAAACAGGGAAGCUAGGCUGUUAGAAGAUUUAAAACUUCCCAUGUACAUUCCACUAAGCAAGCUACAAGGCAAAGAAGGGUUGUAUCCCUCAGUAUCAGCUUGGAUUGAUGGAAUGGUUUCGAUCUCCAUGACCACACUGGUGAUGAAUGGUUUACCACCUCUUGCUUCAGAUAACCUCUGUGCUUACACAGCUCACCCAGACACAAGACAGCACCAUGGAAUAGCUGCAAUGGUCUUGGAAUAUGAGUGGUUUUGAGGAUGAAAAGGAAAAAUGGCAUAUUAAGAAAUGGGUUGCAGGCUGGCCAUGGGCGACACUGACUGUUCUUGGGUUCCUGUACUGCUAUUCUCAUGUUGGAAUUGAAUGGGAGCAGAAGUACACUGCAUAUUAAGAAUGAUGCAAACAAUUAAGGCAGGUUGAUGGUUUUUCUACACUGGAUAUUCUAUCUUCACAAGGGUGAGCCAGACCAAGUCUUCAGUCCAUGUAUUAAAACCAAAAGCUCAUUUAAUUGAUUCUGGAUUGCAAAUGCAGUAAUUGAACUGCAGAAACACUGAUGGGCUGCAGCUGGGGGUGGGGAGAAAUUAUGAAGCAUUUUAAAUUAUGUUAUUUUUGUAAAACGGGAUCUUUGUGACUCUGUACAUCAGAAGUGUGCAUCUCAGAACAGGUAUCUUAUAUAUGUUGAGGGUUGUUUUCAUGUUUUCCUGCCUAUUUUGAGAUAUUUAAGAAAAAAAUAAAUUCUACCUUGGAGAAUUCAAAAAGCCCAAUCUCUCAGAAAUGGUGUCCAGGGGCAUGUAGGGCUGUGCCCUGCACUUACACUACUCCGUGAAGGGCAUGAUGCUCAUCAGUUCUUCUUGAUUGCUUUCUGACAUAAGCUAGAACAUUUUGUAUUCUCAUUGACUGGAGUAGUUCUGCCUUAAGCUACUUUUUCACCUACUGUAGCAAAGCCUACUUUUUCUUUUUAAUGUCUUCAUUUAAAAUCUUGCCUUUAAAAUAACACCUUUUUGGUAACCUUAGAAAUGGUUUUGUUUCUUUAAAAAGAGUGAGUAGGGAGAAAGGUCUUUUCUUAAAGAACAGCUUUCCUUUUUAAUCAAAUAAGCUCUUAAAGCUCCUUGGGCUUUAAGUGGUCUCUGCCUUGUCUUAGAGCUAAAGUAUUAAAUACUACCUUUAUUUUGGGGCUAAUACCACCUUUGAACGUUGAGUCUGCCUCUUGUAUUGUUCUGUUACAAAAGGAGAUAUCUCCAGUCUGGGUGAAUAGUAAAUCUGUUCAGUCUGCUUCAUUCUGUGGUGUCCAAGCAAUCAGCUCCUGCAAUAUAUUGCAGAUACCCUGGGAGGAACUUUUUAAGAGCUUUAGAAAAAAAACCAGAAUGGUCCAAUACAGUGGCACCAAAUUAGCUGGAGCUUUAUAUCCUUUGGCUACAGCCAGACCUGUAACAGCAGCAUCUUUUCCCAAAGGUUGUAUUGUCCAAAGCUGGGAAGGUCACACCUACAGGUGUCCAGGUUGCAGGUUGCUUUGGCACAUGUUGUUUUCUAAGGGGAGACCCUUCCCCUGUCUGAUAUUACGGGCGUCUCCUACACUGUUCUGUUUUAAACUGACACUGAAGAGCAGCCAGAAGACCUUUAGUCUUUCUAAAAGUUAGACACUCCCCCUAACCAUGGUCAAAAGGCCACAAGUUCUGGAGUAGACUUCUUCCAAAAGCAGCUUCCUCCACCCAAAGCAUGUCAAAACUUGUUCCAUGCCCCUGGCAGACAUUUCAGCCUGUUGGGAAUUAGUAUCCUACUGUCCAUCACUCCUGCAGCUUCAGCCAAGUCUGAUUUAACUUAUCCAUUCAACAAGAAAUUCAGUUUCUGAGACAGGCUUCUGCUCAUUGCCUGCAUUUCUGAUGUCUCUGCUGCUCACAACUAUGGCAGCCUUCUUGUUACCCUCCAUUUAUUCCUGAAGAAAUAAGGGCAGAGGCUUCAGCUCUCUGUCCAUGCAGAGAAAAGCCCAUCUCUUGCUGUUUCAAAGCAGAAUCUCCAGCCUUUUAUUUGAAGAGUCCCCCAGCUCCCCCACCAUGAGAAUGCCAUGAUUUCCCCUGGAAGCCAUUUCUAGGAGACACCGUGGCCUGUUGAAAAUAACUUACCUUGAACGCUGCCUGGCCAAAGACAUGGCUCUCGUGACUGACUGACUGACAGAGAGAAACCACAGGGAUUCUCUCUGCCACAGAGUAUAUGGCUCUAAGCCUCUGAAUUUACUAAAAAGAUCUGAGAUUGGCUUCCAUUUUGGGGCAGCACUGAGCUAAGGGCAAGAACUUUCUCAGACUUUGCUCAAACUUUGUAAUUAAAUGGAAUUACCAUUAGAGCAAAAAUUCAUGAAUCUGUUCAAAGUCUUAUUGAUUACCAUUAUUACAUGAACUGAAGUGCUACUGAGUGAUUGGAUUCCAAUUUGUAUGUAUGCAGAACUUCCGUCUCCAAUAUGGAAAUGACCCUGAAGGUCAUAUAGAGCAUGCUUAUUUCUGAACUAAAAUGGUUUUCUGGGUUUUUUUUGGUGCUUUCUAUAUCUUUUAUAAUUUUGUAAGUUUUUCUGUUUCUAUAAAUAAAGCUGAAAUGGACUGUUGGCUUGAGA